ensembl:lncRNA
AUGUGUCUGCAGACAAGAGGUUUGUCCUGUUUGCAUACAACAUUCAACCGGGUUCUGUUGGAGCUUAACCCUCCAGCGGGGGAGAAGGUAUUGAUACAGUACGCAGCCUGGGGACUGCAGGGGAACCAGCUGGCCUAUGUGUUUGAAGGAGAUAUCUACUACCAGACAGAAGUGACCAGUAAACCUCUCCGGCUCACAGCUACAGGCAGAGAGGGGCUGGUGGUCAACGGGCUGAGUGACUGGAUUUACGAGGAGGAAGUGCUCUUGACUUACCCUGCCAACUGGUGGUCGAAAGAUGGAGCUCGCUUGGCAUACCUCACCAUCAACAACUCUGCCACACCGCUAAUGGAGAUACCUCACUUCUUGGGUGGGGUCUAUCCCUCCAAUGUGUUCUUUCCUUACCCCAAGGCUGGCUCCACCAUCCCCACUGUCAGUCUGUUUGUGGUGAAUCUCUAUGGUCCAGCUCACACUCUAGAGAUGAUCCCUCCAGACUCUGUCAGGGGCAGAGACCGCUACAUCUCCAUGGUGACAUGGAUCAGCAGCACUCAGUUGGCGGUACGUUGGUUGAACCGGGCCCAGAACCAAUCAGAGCUCUGUGUGUGUGAGGCCACCACUGGGGCAUGCUCAAAGGUGAGAGGUCAAAGGUUACUCCACAGUAAUCCAAUGGGUGAGGUGCCAUUGUUUUCAUCUGAUGGCUCUUGGUUUUAUUUGACGUUGCCAGCCAAGCAAGGUGCCCGUGGGGAGUUCCGCCACAUUGCCAGUCUGCCAGCCCAGGUCAGUGUGAGGACACUCAAACUUUUAUACCCCUGUGUCAUCCUCCAAUGGUUUAAUGCCAGACUACUUGUUAAGUCUUCAAUAGGGUCAGGUGUGGACUUUGAAGGGAUCUUCCAACGCCAGUGUCUGACCUGCAACCUUCUAGAUGACUGUAGCUUUUUCAAAGCAGUGUUCAGCCCCAAUCAGACAUAUUUCACACUUUAUUGCCUAGGUAGGAGCUCUGUACACACGCACACAAACUUGUUUAACUUUUGCCCUUUGGACGGAGUUCCAGGCAGUCAGUCGGUGACGGAGGAGUUUACUAUGGGAUGGCCUGAGGUGCUCGCGAGCACACAUGACAUGGCGUUAGCCUGGGUGGAUGGAAGGAGUGGGGUCGGCCGGGGGCAGAAGAUCAGCAGUGUGGAUCCCCGCAAGCUCAGCUCCCUCAGAGUCAAAGAUCAACUAGGAGUCGUAGAGUGGUUGAUGCAAUUGCCUUACAUUGACGAUCAGCGGAUUGCCCUGUAUGGCAAGGCAUUUGGUGGUUAUUUAUCCCUCAAGAUGCUAGCUGCCACUGAUCAGCUGUUUAAAUGUGCAGCCGCUGUGGCUCCCAUAACAGAUUUCAAACUCUACAGUGCUGCCUUCUCAGAGAGGUAUCUAGGUCUCCCAGCAAAGGAGGAGCACACUUAUCUGACGGCAUCUGUAUUGGAAGAUGUUCACAAGCUUAAAGACGAGAAUUUCCUCUUACUGCAUGGGACUGCAGACGCACGGGUCCACUUCCAGCACAGUGCAGAGCUCCUGAGUCGCUUGGUGAAGGUGGAGGCCAACUACUCCCUGCAGCUGUACCCAGACGAGGGCCACAUCCUGAAGGAGCGGCGCAGCAUCCAGCAUUCCCAACGGACCUUGGUGCACUACCUCCAGACCUGCCUGAGACACAACCCCCUCCUGGCCUCCAUAGAGGAGCCAGAUGAGGAGGAUGACUGAGUACUCCCACCUCUGGUACUGGAGAAACACUGAGAAGUGACGACUACUCAAAGUCAGACUACUACUAAACACUAGUCUCUUCCCACAGCCACUGACUAGACACAAGAACACGGGAGUGUGGACCAAGAAUAUCAGAUCACAGCCUACUGUUAUCAGUUCACAGCAACUUUGGAAACAUACAAUUUCUUCCCAACAUUGUUUGUACUGUUUGAAUUGUGUUGUCCCUGAUUUGUUUACACUGUGUGGAUCAAUUAUCCAAGAAGUGACCAUGGCCAGGCCAAAUGUUGAUUCUUCUUCAAGUUUACAAAAUAGCCUGAACAUGCAUGUCGUAAUGGCUGCAUGAAGCGGAGUGGUUUACAAUGCCUUCUUCUAUGUUUCGUUAUCCUGCAUAUCUUAACUUUGCUUAAUUUAUUACAACUAAAAUCAGCCUGCUAUGCUGAUAUGUAAACACAUAUAUGGUAUGGACUUAGUGUCACUCUUAAUGUGCCAAAUACAUGGUAUGUUUACAAGUGUAUUCACCAUGUCAGUUCAGAGAUGUAUCCAGACUUGCAGAAGUUAUAAACUGUAUUUUCCAUGCCUCUUGCAUGAUUAUUUUCAACAGUUCCAUGUUGUAUUUGGUAACUUUGGAUGGAUAUAAUAAGAAUGAACAAACCCAACAAACUAUAAUAUGAAGCACAUUUGUUAGAAGUAUAUUUCAGUAGUUAUGUUUUUGUUUGUUUUCUUGAAUGAAUUUCCUUUGAUAGUCACGCAUACUUUGUUCAUGUGUACUGCAAUAGUUUAACACCUCACUGAAAAUUAUACAUCUCCCCCAGUAACGUGGACUCCCAAUCAAAGUUGUGGAACAUCUAUGGUGCACUGCAUGUAGUCUGUUUGCAAUUGAAUAGCCAACUUUACAUUUUUCCUUUUUUUUGUUUUACUAAAUCCUUUACGAUAAAGAAUCAAUUCCUUGUUUUACAGAAAUAUUGUUGUGUGUGUGUGUUCCAUCACUGGCUGCUUUGGAGAGGACAAGUGGAGCCUCGGCCAAAGUAUCAGCAUUGAAAUAGUGAAUGAAUAACUGUCUGUUGUGUCAAGUAUAAUUUCUUGAACCGGUCUCGUUGGUACCAGGUGUUUUUAACCUAGACCUCAACAGUCAGACUAAAUAUAUUUGGCAAGAAUUGGAUAAGUGCAAUAUGGCCAGUGGUGGAAAAAGUACCCAAUUCUCAUACUUGAGUAAAAGUAUAGAUACCUUAAUAGAAAGUUACUCAAGUGAAAGUCAAUCAAUCAAAUAAAGCCCUUUUUAUAUCAGCCGAUGUCA